rnacentral:rRNA from 1 species
GACGAACGCUGGCGGCGUGCUUAACACAUGCAAGUCGAACGGAAAGGCCCUGCUUUUGUGGGGUUCUCGAGUGGCGAACGGGUGAGUAACACGUGAGUAACCUGCCCUUGACUUUGGGAUAACUUCAGGAAACUGGGGCUAAUACCGGAUAGGAGCCCCUGCUGCAUGGGGGGGGGUGGAAAGUUUCGGCGGUUGGGGAUGGACUCGCGGCUUAUCAGCUUGUUGGUGGGGUAGUGGCUUACCAAGGCUUUGACGGGUAGCCGGCCUGAGAGGGUGACCGGCCACAUUGGGACUGAGAUACGGCCCAGACUCCUACGGGAGGCAGCAGUGGGGAAUAUUGCACAAUGGGCGGAAGCCUGAUGCAGCAACGCCGCGUGCGGGAUGACGGCCUUCGGGUUGUAAACCGCUUUCGCCUGUGACGAAGCGUGAGUGACGGUAAUGGGUAAAGAAGCACCGGCUAACUACGUG